rnacentral:rRNA from 1 species
GAUGAACGCUGGCGGCGUGCCUAAUACAUGCAAGUCGAGCGAACAGACGAGGAGCUUGCUCCUCUGACGUUAGCGGCGGACGGGUGAGUAACACGUGGAUAACCUACCUAUAAGACUGGGAUAACUUCGGGAAACCGGAGCUAAUACCGGAUAAUAUAUUGAACCGCAUGGUUCAAUAGUGAAAGACGGUUUUGCUGUCACUUAUAGAUGGAUCCGCGCCGCAUUAGCUAGUUGGUAAGGUAACGGCUUACCAAGGCAACGAUGCGUAGCCGACCUGAGAGGGGGAUCGGCCACACUGGAGCUGGGACACGGUCCAGAGUCCUACGGGAGGCAGCAGUAGGGAAUCUUCCGCAAUGGGCGGAAGCUUGACGGAGCAACGCCGCGUGAGUGAUGAAGGUCUUCGGAUCGUAAAACUCUGUUAUUAGGGAAGAACAAAUGUGUAAGUAGCUAUGCACGUCUUGACGGUACCGAGUCAGAAAGCCACGGCUAACUACGUG